rnacentral:misc_RNA from 1 species
GGCAAUGAAUGCCAUCGCGUGCGAAGGUGCUGAGAGAAUUGAGAGACCAGAAACAUACAAGCAAUGGCAAGUUAGAAUUCUGAAGGCUGGUUUUCGGCAGCUUCCUUUGGAUGAGGAGAUUAUGAGAAUGACAACAGAACGAUUCAAGGUGUACGACAAGAAUUUCAUUAUUGACGUAGAUAGUGAAUGGCUACUGCAGGGCUGGAAGGGUCGUAUUGCAUCUGCACUUUCAAUGUGGAAGGCAGCAUAUUGAAUUUGUUCUCAUUCAAGGAGCACAUUCAGCAGCCAUGAUACCCCUCUGCCCCUUUAAACAACGAGCUCAUGAACGGUACUCACUUUACCAAGUGCUACUUAUUGAUUUGGUCAUUUCUUUAGUGUUAAUUUA